GACGAACGCUGGCGGCGUGCUUAACACAUGCAAGUCGAACGGAAAGGCCCUGCUUUUGUGGGGUGCUCGAGUGGCGAACGGGUGAGUAACAAGUGAGUAACCUGCCCUUGACUUUGGGAUAACUUCAGGAAACUGGGGCUAAUACCGGAUAGGAGCUCCUGCUGCAUGGUGGGGGUUGGAAAGUUUCGGCGGUUGGGGAUGGACUCGCGGCUUAUCAGCUUGUUGGUGGGGUAGUGGCUUACCAAGGCUUUGACGGGUAGCCGGCCUGAGAGGGUGACCGGCCACAUUGGGACUGAGAUACGGCCCAGACUCCUACGGGAGGCAGCAGUGGGGAAUAUUGCACAAUGGGCGGAAGCCUGAGGCAGCAACGCCGCGUGCGGGAUGACGGCCUUCGGGUUGUAAACCGCUUUCGCCUGUGACGAAGCGUGAGUGACGGUAAUGGGUAAAGAAGCACCGGCUAACUACGUG
rnacentral:rRNA from 1 species